rnacentral:rRNA from 1 species
CCUACGUGCGGCAGCAGUGAGGACUAUUGGUCAAUGGACGAGAGUCUGAACCAGCGAAGUAGCGUGAAGGAUGACUGCCCUAUGGGUUGUAAACUUCUUUUAUAUGGGAAUAAAAUGUUCCACGUGUGGGAUUUUGUAUGUACCAUAUGAAUAAGGCUCGGCUAACUACGUGCCAGCAGCCGCGGUAAUACGGAGGAUCCGAGCGUUAUCCGGAUUUAUUGGGUUUAAAGGGAGCGUAGGUGGAUUGUUAAGUCAGUUGUGAAAGUCUGCGGCUCAACCGUAAAAUUGCAGUUGAAACUGGCAGUCGUGAGUACAGGAGAGGUAGGCGGAAUUCGUGGUGUAGCGGUGAAAUGCUUAGAUAUCACGAAGAACACCGAUGGCGAAGGCAGCUCACUGGACUGCAACUGACACUGAGGCUCGAAAGUGUGGGUAUCAAACAGGAUUAGAUACCCCUGUAGUC